ensembl:lncRNA
CCCAAAUCUGAUCCAGAAGUAGCCUUUUUAACCAGUUAAUGAAACCUACAAUAGGAGAGCUUCAACCUCAGAGGUUGUGAGGUAUCCAAGGAUGGCUUCCACAGAUGUGGGUGAAACGGCAGGAGAGAAAGCUUCUGGAACAUGGCCAUACAGCCCGAAAGACUCACAGCAACCCAGUGAUUCCGGCCAUGAAAGCCUUUGAAAAUAAAAUGAAAUUCUAGUGGCAUUUUUUGCAGUGUCGGUGUAAAAGAACUGGCCUUAAAGGAGCUGUCAUGAGAUGAUAGAAGUAUGCCCCACAUAGGGAGAAGGACAGGUUUCUGAUGGACAGCCAAACCUUCUGGGAAAAAAUCAGAGCUCUGUAAAUCCUGCAAAGGCAUUUUAAUGGGCAGAUAAAAGAGAGAUUGAAGGGGUGAUGGGGAAAAGACAAUCCGAACUGAACUGAACUGACAUAAUCUGUUCAUCGGCAGGAUGACGCAACAUCAGAUGAUGAGUGCUGUAGUCUGGCUGGCAACUGGAAACUGGAAGCAUAGAAAGAAUACAAGAGAGCAGGAAAAUAAUGCAAGGUCUGUGUGUGCAGGGUGUUCACAAGUGGGAUGUUCAGGGAGAUGGAGGCAGGGUAUAAAAAUAAGUUAUUAUUAUUAUAGUCUGACACAGCAAACAAGAUAGAUAUGCUGGAUUUCGUAUCACAAAAUCACAAGUCGAACACUUCCCAAGUGUCUAGGACUGUGUGAUGUAUUUUCGGAUGAUGCGUGCAGAACCCAGUUGGGUGGCCUUUUGCAGUUGGCAGGUCGUAAUUUUGUCAAUGUCUAUUGUUUCCAAAUGCCGGCUGAGAUCUUUUGGCACGGCACCCAAUGUGCCCAUCACCACCGGGACCACCUGCACUGGUUUCUGCCAGAGUCUUUGAAGUUCAAUCUUGAGGUCCUGAUAGCGUCUGAGUUUUUCCUGUUGUUUUUCAUCAAUCCGACUGUCACCUGGGAUGGCGACAUCAAUGAUCCAAACCUUUUUCUUUUCCACAACUGUGAUGUCUGGUGUGUUGUGUUCCAGACUGACAAAGUUCUGGAACACAACACACCAGUCAUCACAGUUGUGGAAAAGAAAAAGGUUUGGAUCAUUGAUGUUGCCAUCCCAGGUGACAGCAAUGUUUUGUUGUGCCAGCUGCCAGCUCUAGUUUGUAGUGCGGUUUUCUUGUACUGAUUUUUUGUCUGCUGUGCUUUGAGGAGUUUCUGAUUUUUGGCUUCAAUCAAAGCAGGUUUGCUUUACAUAUUCUGCCAGGGCAUGUAUUAUUAUUAUUAUUAUUAUUAUUAUUAUUAUUAUUAUUAUUAUUAUUAUUAAGAAAAAACCUUUACGUUUACCUAGAUCCAGCCUGUUUGACAAUGGGACCAAUUGCUUAAAGAGGUAGUGAGAUAUCUUCCUCUGAGCAAUGUUAAAAUGAGACUAGAUAGCAACUUGUUGAGGAAGCUGUAGUCUUAGGAGAGAAGCCCACACUGUAGGAAGAAAGCCUUUCUGAUGGCUAUUGCUGGCCUAGUCUUCCUUAUAUGCAUUGGACUUAUAUUCCAAUGCAUACAACUGCUAAGCUUUAUUUCUUGGAGAGGUGUGCCAUAUCCCAUUAGUGGUUUUUGUUAUAUAUUUCAUAAUGAAUUCAAGAACAUUCCCCAUUGUCUCCUUGUUGGCACGACAGCCUUCUCGAGAUGCAGAGUGAUUAAUGCUUUUGCAUCGGGACAGACACAGUAGGCCUGUUUGUUCCGUAAUUGGUUUACUAUUUGUGGGAGCCGUUUGCAAAGAUUGCAUUUUUGAAAGAAGCAUAAAUUAUACCCAGUCAAAAAGAGACACCAAACUUUGAGUUUACAAUAAAAUGCCCUUAAGUUUUUUUUCUCUCCUCCCCCCCCCCCCCUCUUUUAAUGAAGCAUUUAAUGAGGAGGGGAAGAGUUGUAUAUUUUCUGCCCCAGCAUGCUGCCAACAUUGUUCUUUACACACAAAGCAAUAUACCAUGCAAUUAUAUAAAAAUAAUGCAUAAUUGCUUUGCAUACGGCACUAUCGGAAUCUAUCAGGACCGGCCUCCCCGCUGUGCAAAUAUUACUGCCCUCUCCUUGAACAAAAGAUCCCGCCGAGAUUUUGACUCUCCUCCCCGUCUUAAGUAAAGUCCUCGAAAUCCCCAGAGUGAUUAGAACCCAUGAAAAUCAGACAAGCUUUUAUGGAUUUAUUGCCGUUUUGAUUAUGACUUCCCCUCUCCCUGCGGAGGGAAAAAAAGACAAUAUUUCCUAUAGUCCACAAUGAACAAUACUAUGUUACCCUAGGGAUGGAGAGAAGAAAUACUGUAACGAAUGGCUACACUCCUUUUUCUCAACAGUAACAAUGUUAUAGUAACUGCAAACUUCUACACGUUCAAGGAUGGAGGAAAUAUACAAAGUAUAUGAACAACCCAAAAUUGACAUACCACAAUGAAGAGUGAAUUAUUUUUUUAUCGUGUCAGAAUCAACUUGAGAACAAUGUGUUGUCAAAGGCUUUCAUGGCCGGAAUCACAGGGUUGUUGUGUGUUUUCCGGGCUAUCUGGUCAUGUUCCAGAAGCAUUCUCUCCUGACGUUUCACCCAUAUCUAUGGCAGGCAUCCUCAGAGGUUGCGAGGUACAACUUGAGAACAUACUGCAAGUCGCUUCUAGUGUGAGAGUUUCGUGCAAAAACAC